rnacentral:lncRNA from 12 species
AAGCGACUCCUCACACUUCUCAAAACGGUCCUCGCCUCCUUCCCCGAAGACCCGGGAGUCCAGAACCGCAGGAAUUCAGGCGCCAGAACGGCUUUCCCCGGGGAUUCCGGCCCCUCGGACCCCGGGAUCCUCGAUACGGCCCCACGUCCUGGCUGUCGUUCCUGCCCGCAGCGCAGGGCCGUGCGGGCCGGGAACCCCGAGGGCUGUUCUGCUCUCUCGGCCUGUGCUCGCUUCCGGCAGGCAGUGGAGGCGGCUCCUCCCGAAGCGGCGGCGGCGGCGGGGGCGGGUGAGUCACGCAGCCGGAGCCAGAGAGCCGGCGCCUCCGCCCCCUUCCCGGGCUGCGGCGUGAUUCACCCAGCCCGGCCGGGCGACACUCGGGGGCCCGCGCAUCUCGAUCCCGGGCAGCCCCGGCGCGCACCGGCCGGACCCGGGGAUCGAACCUGCCAAACGACCCCCUCGCGGGUUUCCCUUCUCGCCUCGGCCCCCUUCACUUCAUUUACAUACCUAGCUCACCCGCUGCCAAUCAGAACGAAGAGGGAUCCACGCGCAGCCAAUCAGGGAGCGGCGACGGCAGCAUCGCUCGCUCGCUCUCCUUCAGCAGCCGGCGCCUGGGUCGGUAGACGCAGUUCUGACUCCGGCGCACGACUCCAGGCUCCUGACUCCCCUUAACUACCGCCCACUCCCGCGGUGGCCCCGCCCUCGGCCCGCGAUUGGCCUUGGGCGGUGAUGGGCGGGGCCUGGAGAAGGAAGGUUCGAAGGGAGGGGAGGGUGGCUUCAGGGCGCAUGCCUGGCGACUGUGUAAGGAGCCGAGGCCAGGUGGGGUGGCUGUGUUCACUGCGGGGCAGUGGCUGGGAGGGGUUUCUUCCUUCUCAAGGUGUGAGCCCCUCACACCUGCCCGUACAUUUGCCAAACCCAGCAAUUGAGCAACUUACAGACCCAGUCCUAACAGAGGUCUGCACUCUAAGCCAGAUAAGCAUGGGUUCAAAUUCUGACCACUUACUCAACGUGCGAUCUAGGGAAAAAAAAAUCCUUGGACCUCUCUGAGCCACACACAAAGUCUGUUAAAUGGACAGCUUCUUGCCUACCUCUUGAGAGUCGGGAAAAUUAAAAUAAGGUUGUGUCUUUAAGAGCACCAUAGCGCACUAAGCAAAUGCUGAGCAGUUGGACUCAAUAGUGGUUACAGGAGGGGGAGGGGGAGCCGGUGGGGAUAGGAAUAGAGCCACUGGAGUCACAUCCUGGGCUCCAUUCCCUAAGUAGCUGUGUGACCUUGGGCAAGAAUUUUAAUCCCAAAGGUCUCAGUUUCCUCACCUUUUUAAAAUGAGAGUAUUUUGAGGAUUAAAAAGAAUAAUCACACAGGGGCCCGAGGCAGGCUCAGUCGAGAGCAUGUGACUCUUGACCUCUAAGUUAUGAGUUCAAGGCCCCCGCGCUGGGGGCAGAGAUUCUUUUUUUUUUUUUUUUUUUUUAAGAUUUUAUUUAUUUACUCAUGAGAGACACAGGCAGAGGGAGAGGCAGGCUCCCUGGUGGGAGCCCAAACAAGAUUCAAUUCUAGAUCCCAGGAUCAUGACCUGAGGCAAAGGCAGAUAGAUGCUCAACCGCUGACCCACCCAGGCGUCCCAGGUGUAGACAUUUCAUAAAAAUAAGAUCUAAAAGAAAAAAAGAGGGGCGUGUGGGUGGCUCAGGUCAUGAUCCUAGGGUUCUGGGAUCAAGUCCCACAUCUGGCUCCCUACUCAGCAGGGAGUCUGCUUCUCCAUCUCCCUCUACCCCUCCCCCUUGCUCAUGCUCUCUCUCAAAUAAAUAAAAAAAGAAAAAAAUAAUCCCA